UAGCAAUAAGAAGUCGAGCAUGGGGGCUUGUAAGUCUUAUUGUAUGAAUUUCGAUUCUUUCAAGAUAGUGGAUUCAAGUUUACCUUGAGGAUAGCUAGGUCAAAUCCUCCCCAGGUUUUUACCGGUUUGGUUUCCUAGGUGAUCAUAUCUUGUGUUAUUUA